UACGGGGGGGGCAAGCGUUGUUCGGAAUUACUGGGCGUAAAGGGCUCGUAGGCGGCCAACUAAGUCAGACGUGAAAUCCCUCGGCUUAACCGGGGAACUGCGUCUGAUACUGGAUGGCUCGAGAUUGGGAGAGGGAUGCGGAAUUCCAGGUGUAGCGGUGAAAUGCGUAGAUAUCUGGAGGAACACCGGCGGCGAAGGCGGCUGCCUGGACCAGUCCUGACGCUGAGGCGCGAAAGCUAGGGGAGCAAACAGG
rnacentral:rRNA from 1 species